rnacentral:ncRNA from 1 species
CUAAAGUUUGAUUCUUGCUAUUUAUUUUUGCUUGCGCUUUGUAACACAUGUUAAUUAAAGUGAAGAGACUAAGGUAUAUAGUUGUGGUCGUUAGAACUCAGUGUAUAGGAUUAUUUAUGGGAUUGUUCUUGAAAUAGUGAAUGGUGUAGUUCGGGCUAAAUUUGUGCCAGCAGCCGCGGUUAGACUAACUGGGACGAGUAAGAAUUUAUUAGAUUGAUGAUUGAAUGAUAUUGGUUGAGGAGUUUGAGCUGUCAUUAUGUAAGGGUGAAAUUUGGUAAUUAGAGGUAAUUGCAGAUUUAGAUGCUAAAUUUUUGAGGUUAUUAAAUGUGAGGUAUGGAUCAGGAUUAGAUACCCUGGUACACUUUGUAUUAAAGAAAUCUGGCUUGGGUAGUAAACAGAUAUGUGCUUGAAACUUAAAGAAUUUGGCUGUAUUUAAGUCUGGUUAGAGGAACUUGUGCUGUAAAUGAUAAACCCCGAAUAUCUAACUUUACUUUGUUUAUCAGUUUGUAUACCGCCAUUAUUAGAUAAUUUUUAUUGAAGAUGUCUUGAUAGUUUGAUUGCUUGUAUAUUAGGUAAAGGUGCAGCUUAUGGUAGAGGUUGACAUGAGUUACAUUGUUUUUAAAAUAUAUGGAUACUGUUGUCUGAAGGUGAUAGGUUGAAGGUGGAUUUAAUCGUAAAAUUUGUAUAUUGAGCAUUUUUGGUUUGAGCUCUUAAAUAGGUACACAUCGCCCGUCAAUCUCAUUUUAAGAUGAGGUAAGUCGUAACAUAGUGGGUGUAUAGGAAUAUGUACCUGGGAUUAA